rnacentral:rRNA from 1 species
UGGGGAAUAUUGCACAAUGGGCGCUAGCCUGAUGCAGCCAUGCCGCGUGUAUGAAGAAGGCCUUCGGGUUGUAAAGUACUUUCAGCGGGGAGGAAGGGAGUAAAGUUAAUACCUUUGCUCAUUGACGUUACCCGCAGAAGAAGCACCGGCUAACUCCGUGCCAGCAGCCGCGGUAAUACGGAGGGUGCAAGCGUUAAUCGGAAUUACUGGGCGUAAAGCGCACGCAGGCGGUUUGUUAAGUCAGAUGUGAAAUCCCCGGGCUCAACCUGGGAACUGCAUCUGAUACUGGCAAGCUUGAGUCUCGUAGAGGGGGGUAGAAUUCCAGGUGUAGCGGUGAAAUGCGUAGAGAUCUGGAGGAAUACCGGUGGCGAAGGCGGCCCCCUGGACGAAGACUGACGCUCAGGUGCGAAAGCGUGGGGAGCAAACAGG